GAUGAACGCUGGCGGCGUGCUUAACACAUGCAAGUCGAACGGAAAGGCUCCUGCUUGCAGGGGUACUCGAGUGGCGAACGGGUGAGUAACACGUGGGUGAUCUGCCCAGCACUUCGGGAUAAGCCUGGGAAACUGGGUCUAAUACCGGAUAGGACGAUGGUUUGGAUGCCAUUGUGGAAAGUUUUUUCGGUGUGGGAUGAGCUCGCGGCCUAUCAGCUUGUUGGUGGGGUAAUGGCCUACCAAGGCGUCGACGGGUAGCCGGCCUGAGAGGGUGUACGGCCACAUUGGGCCUGAGAUACGGCCCAGACUCCUACGGGAGGCAGCAGUGGGGAAUAUUGCACAAUGGGCGCAAGCCUGAUGCAGCGACGCCGCGUGGGGGAUGACGGCCUUCGGGUUGUAAACUCCUUUCGCUAGGGACGAAGCGCAAGUGACGGUACCUGGAGAAGAAGCACCGGCUAACUACGUG
rnacentral:rRNA from 1 species